rnacentral:rRNA from 1 species
GAUGAACGCUGGCGGCGUGCCUAAUACAUGCAAGUCGAGCGAACAGACGAGGAGCUUGCUCCUCUGACGUUAGCGGCGGACGGGUGAGUAACACGUGGAUAACCUACCUAUAAGACUGGGAUAACUUCGGGAAACCGGAGCUAAUACCGGAUAAUAUAUUGAACCGCAUGGUUCAAUAGUGAAAGACGGUUUUGCUGUCACUUAUAGAUGGAUCCGCGCCGCAUUAGCUAGUUGGUAAGGUAACGGCUUACCACGGCAACGAUGCGUAGCCGACCUGAGAGGGUGAUCGGCCACACUGGAACUGAGACACGGUCCAGACUCCUACGGGAGGCAGCAGUAGGGAAUCUUCCGCAAUGGGCGAAAGCAUGACGGAGCAACGCCGCGUGAGUGAUGAAGGUCUUCGGAUCGUAAAACUCUGUUAUUAGGGAAGAACAAAUGUGUAAGUAACUAUGCACGUCUUGACGGUACCUAAUCAGAAAGCCACGGCUAACUACGUG